rnacentral:rRNA from 1 species
UGCCCUUGAGCGCAGCUACCAUGCAGUCGAGCGGUAGAGAAGGAGCUUGCUUCUUCUUGAGAGCGGCGGACGGGUGAGUAAUGCCUAGGAAUCUGCCUGGUAGUGGGGGACAACGUUUCGAAAGGAACGCUAAUACCGCAUACGUCCUACGGGAGAAAGUGGGGGAUCUUCGGACCUCACGCUAUCAGAUGAGCCUAGGUCGGAUUAGCUUGUAGGUGAGGUAAUGGCUCACCUAGGCAACGAUCCGUAACUGGUCUGAGAGGAUGAUCAGUCACACUGGAACUGAGACACGGUCCAGACUCCUACGGGAGGCAGCAGUGGGGAAUAUUGGACAAUGGGCGAAAGCCUGAUCCAGCCAUGCCGCGUGUGUGAAGAAGGUCUUCGGAUUGUAAAGCACUUUAAGUUGGGAGGAAGGGUUGUAGCUUAAUACACUGCAACUUUGACGUUACCAACAGAAUAAGCACCGGCUAACUCUGUGCCAGCAGCCGCGGUAAUACAGAGGGUGCAAGCGUUAAUCGGAAUUACUGGGCGUAAAGCGCGCGUAGGCGGCUUGAUAAGAUGGGUGUGAAAUCCCCGGGCUUAACCUGGGAACUGCAUCCAUAACUGUCUGGCUAGAGUACAGUAGAGGGUGGUGGAAUUUCCUGUGUAGCGGUGAAAUGCGUAGAUAUAGGAAGGAACACCAGUGGCGAAGGCGACCACCUGGACUGAUACUGACGCUGAGGUGCGAAAGCGUGGGGAGCAAACAGGAUUAGAUACCCUGGUAGUCCACGCCGUAAACGAUGUCAACUAGCCGUUGGAAUCCUUGAGAUUUUAGUGGCGCAGCUAACGCACUAAGUUGACCGCCUGGGGAGUACGGUCGCAAGAUUAAAACUCAAAUGAAUUGACGGGGCCCGCACAAGCGGUGGAGCAUGUGGUUUAAUUUCGAAGCAACGCGAAGAACCUUACCUGGUCUUGACAUGCAGAGACUUUCAGAGAUGGAUUGGUGCCUUCGGAAACUCUUGACACAGUGCUGCAUGACUGUCGU